AUUCCUGCGCUCAAUGUUUUUAAGCUGAGUUUAAGCUAAAUGAGAAAUCAAGCAAGCCUAUGCUUAAGCCUGGUUAUGUUCACUUCUGCGUCAUAUAUCUUUUAUUGAUUGUGAAUGUUAUUUUUCCCUAUAUACUGCUUUCUCUUUGUGUUUAUCUAUAUCUAUUGUAAUCUUAAUGAGGAAAUUCUUACAGGAUAUGUCACCGUAAUUACUUUAGAGUUGUAGUUCCAUCUAGAGUUAUGUUUUCAAACUUAAAAUUGUAAUGCUUUUUAAAAAUCUUUUUCAGAUUGUGAACAUAAAACUGAGAAGUCUUGUGUAGAAUUCGCUUGGCUGAUAUUACAUAUAUUUAGAGUUAUUUUGUAUGUGGAAGCAUCGGAUCAAAUAAGCAAAGAGGUGGACGUUAUAAGGCUUCAAGUAGGAGAAUUAUCUCGACUCGUCACACCGGUCGGUGAGAAGAUUCCGUUAGAAGUUGACAUAUUUCAAGUGGUCGUGUUAAUCAAUUAUCCUGAAACGACUCCGAUGGGUUUCUUUACAGUUUCUCGAGAAUUGCUUGGACCAAUCUUUUCCACUUUUGUCACCUACGGCAUUGUUAUGGUCCAGAUAAGUUCAAAUUUCAAUUACUAAUGAAGAUAAUAUUUUAAAUUGUACUUGGAGUUGUGAUGACCGUCUCUCUCUUAAUGUGGCUUAUAUGACCUUCGCGUGCUUAAUUCCUUAGUUAUGUUGUUAUCAAUGAGAUUCAUAUAGAUAUACCUAAACACAAUAACGAG